rnacentral:lncRNA from 1 species
GCCAUCCUCCCACCUAAGCCUCCCGAAGAGCUAAGACCACAGCAAGGAUCAGGCAUUGUAACAGCCUCAUGAAGUUGUGAAGAUUAAACGAAGUGACACAUGUGAAUCAUUGAGGACAAUGCUGGGCAAAUAAGACAACACAAAAAGAGAGAGAAAGAUGCUGUAUUCUUCCUACCUGUGUCCCAGAAUCCUGAACAGCCGCCGGUGUGCAGGGCCUGGUGGGAAGUGACGUUGCUGCAGAAGCUGCAGUGCUGACGAGGAGGGCAGCAUCCCUCAGAGAGAAGGACACCACAGAGAGUCCCUACCAGCCAGGAGGCUCUCACCAGAUGCGCCCCCUUGACCUUGGACCUCCUAGCUUCAAAAACUGUCAUACAAGACACUCUGUCUUGCUCUCUUGAAUUGCCUGCUCUGGUGGAAGCCAGCCAGCUUCUGCCAUGUCAUGAGAACACUCAUGCAGCCCUGGGAAGAGUCCACGUGGUGAGGAACUGAGGCCUCCUGCCAACAGCCAAGUGAAAGCACCAUCCUGGAAGAGGACCCUCCAGCCCUCAUUAAGUCUGUCAAGCCUUGAGAUGAAUGAACCAACACUAUGAAUGUAACUUCACGAGAGGCUCUGAGCCAGAACCACUCAGCUAAGCCACAGUAACUGUGAAAUAAUCAUGUAUUACUGUUUUAGGCCAGCAAGUUUUGAGAGAAUUUAUUAUGUGGUAAUAGAUAACUAAUACAGUUGUGCUUGUUA